rnacentral:piRNA from 1 species
GUUGUACGAUAUGAUGGCGCUGAGG